UACGGGGGGGGCAAGCGUUGUUCGGAAUUACCGGGCGUAAAGGGCUCGUAGGUGGCCAACUAAGUCAGACGUGAAAUCCCUCGGCUUAACCGGGGAACUGCGUCUGAUACUGGAUGGCUUGAGUUCGGGAGAGGGAUGCGGAAUUCCAGGUGUAGCGGUGAAAUGCGUAGAUAUCGUGAGGAACACCAGAGGCGAAGGCGGCUACCUGGACAAUUGCUGACGCUCAGGCACGAAAGCGUGGGGAGCAAAAGGG
rnacentral:rRNA from 1 species